AUUGAACGCUGGCGGCAUGCCUAACACAUGCAAGUCGAACGGCAGCACAGCAGAGCUUGCUCUGUGGGUGGCGAGUGGCGGACGGGUGAGUAAUGCAUCGGGACCUACCCAGACGUGGGG
rnacentral:rRNA from 1 species